UCGAGAAUUUUUCACAAUGGGCGAAAGCCUGAUGGAGCGACGCCGCGUGGGGGAUGAAUGGCUUCGGCCCGUAAACCCCUGUCAUGCGCGAGCAAGAUAAAUGGCCGAAUACGUCGUUUAUUGAUAGUAGCGCAAGAGGAAGGGACGGCUAACUCUGUGCCAGCAGCCGCGGUAAUACAGAGGUCCCAAGCGUUGUUCGGAUUCACUGGGCGUAAAGGGUGCGUAGGUGGUCGGGUAAGUUCCAUGUGAAUGCCACGGCUUAACCGUGGAACGGCAUGGGAUACUAUCCGGCUAGAGGGUUGGAGGGGGGACUGGAAUUCUCGGUGUAGCAGUGAAAUGCGUAGAUAUCGAGAGGAACACCUGUGGCGAAGGCGGGUCCCUGGACAAUUCCUGACACUGAGGCACGAAGCUAGGGGAGCAAACAGGAUUAGAUACCCUGGUAGUCCUAGCCUUAAACGGUGCACGUUUGCUGUGAGAGG
rnacentral:rRNA from 1 species